rnacentral:misc_RNA from 1 species
AUCGUGUGCAUGUGUGCUCGAAUUCGGCUGCGUGUGCGUACCGAUGUGUAUACGUGUGCGUCGAGAUCCGUGUGCGAGUCGAGCCUGUCGCCAUCUGUAUUGUCAAUGUUGUCGGCCAGCAGGAGCACCACCAGCCCAAUGGACCCCUCCGAGAGGAAUCCACUUUCUAGAUAAUAAAUACAUGGACGACUAUGUAGGUGUGCGCGGCUCACCUGCACGUGCCACGUACCGCUAGCUCAUUUGGUAUAGUAGAAUGGCACAGCGAGGCAAACGAAUAAAUAGAAACGACAAUGAUUUGGCGUCUUGCCCAGGCGCAAUCAAAAGGCGCAAAUGUAGGCUGGGUCCAGCGACGGGUACGACGUCGCUGGCAGCUACCAUGGGCCCCUCAGAAGAGGAGGAGACGAUGGCGUCGUCCAGUCAAGGAGGGGCAUCCUGGACCCCCAGACCUCUUAGUGACAUCAAAAUCUCUAGUAUAUACAAUCGCUCCUCUGCUGAGGCUCCCGCAGAAUUAUUUCGUAAGGAUUUGAUCAGCGCAAUGAAAUUACCUGACAGUGAACCAUUAAGUCCCAAUGAAUAUUGGGUCAUUACUGAUCAAUGGAAGCAAGAAUGGGAGAGAGGUGUUCAAGUACCUGUCAACCCAGACUCCCUUCCUGAACCAACAGUCACUAUCACUCAAGCAACACCUGUAAAGCAGCACAGUGAAUUCAAACUACCUAAAAAAUUCGUAAGGAUAUCUCGUGAUGAUUAUUUCAACCCUGAAGAUCAUCAUUUAAGCACAACACCUGCACGAGCAGAAAAAGCUUGUGCUUAUGAUCUUGAUGAUACUGAUAUUGCGUGGUUGGAUGUAUUAAAUGGCGAACGUGCACAGGCUGGUCAGUUACCUAUUACAGAAUCACAAUUAGAACGCGUGAUAGAAGAAUUGGAAGUUCGUUGUUGGGAAAGAAUACAAACCAUUGUAAAGAAUGAAGAGGGUCUUGGUAUUGAAUAUGACGAGAACGUAAUCUGUGAUGUUUGUAGAUCUCCUGACUCUGAGGAAGGAAAUGAAAUGGUAUUUUGUGACUGCUGCAACAUAUGUGUACAUCAAGCAUGUUAUGGAAUUACUUCGAUACCGGACGGUUCAUGGUUAUGCAGAACUUGUUCUCUAAGUCAACGACCAGAUUGUGUUCUUUGUCCUAAUAAAGGUGGUGCUAUGAAAUGUACUCGUAGUGGCCAAAAGUGGGCUCAUGUUUCUUGUGCUUUAUGGAUCCCAGAAGUCAGCAUUGGCUGUGUUGAAAGAAUGGAACCUAUUACUAAGAUAUCCAGUAUUCCGCAAAGUCGAUGGGCUCUAAUAUGUGUACUAUGUCGAGAAAGGGUCGGUGCUUGUAUCCAAUGCAGCAUAAAGACGUGUAAGACAGCUUAUCACGUGACGUGUGCCUUCAAAUAUGGUUUGGAGAUGAAGGCAAUUAUUGAGGAUGAAAUGGCUGACGACGGAGUAAAGUUAAGGUCCUACUGCCAGAAACAUAGUAGAACAAACACAAAAGAUAAAGUUCAAGGCACUGGAGGCAGUAUAGGAAGUGGAGCUGACAAAGCAGGAUCUGAUUCUGAAGAUGCAGAAUCUAGGAGACGUAAGAGAAAGGAUAUGACUUCUGAAGAAAAAAAUCAAGCACGUGCUGCAAAAUUACAAGAAAUUGAAGCAGAAUUCGACAAACAUGUGAGUUUGAAGGAUAUUGCUUCACAGCAAUUGGAUGUAGAUCCCGAAGGCAUAGUUUACAUAUAUAAUUAUUGGAAACUUAAAAGAAGAGCUGGCCAUAACAAACCGCUGUUAGCACCACGUUGUGGAGAGUUGUCUGGUAGUGGCUCACGCAAUCAAGGACAGGCAGCCGAUCUUGAAAAGAUGCGGACGUUCGUUCAACUUCGCCAAGACUUAGAAAGAGUCAGAAACUUGUGUUACAUGGUUGGUAGAAGAGAAAAACUCUGUCGGUCUUUUCUCAGGCUACGAGAACAAACUUUCCACAAACAAGCUUUAGUAAUGUCCGGACCACCUUUACCACCGGAAGCUGCCGCUGCCGUGAUGGAAGCUAAUCAUGGACCUUCGAUUUAUGACCGCCUCUAUUCUCAUCCAGACUCAGAGGACCACACUCAUGAUUUCGACACUAUCGUUGCCCGAAUCGCUGGUAUAGAUUCUCCAACUAGUGACGAGAAGAAGACGCAACAACAACAGCAGCAACAACAACAACAGCAGCAGGACUUCAAUGGUGCCUCUAGUAAAAAAUUAUAUUUCAACGGCUCCGUCCGAAGAAAGAAUCUGUACGGCAGUGAUUUAUCGUCUGUUAGUAGCAGUGAAACGGAUGCAACGAAAGCGAAAACAUCCGAGAAAUCGAAGAAUCUGAAGCUUGAGAGUGACUCGAGUACCGAAGAAGAAACCACCAGUGUUCCGUCGAAAAAGUUAUCGCGUAGAAAAGCGAAAAAGACUGUUCGUUCAACAGAUAAGUUACAUUCGACGCUUAAAGAAAACAGUGAAAAUGAAAAACUCGUGAAUAGUAGAUCACACACGCUUGAACAUAUGGAAAAAGAAUUAGGAAGUGCUUCUGGCAGUGAAAGCGAUGAACUGUUGACGUUAAACGCCGGAACGACCAAGCAUCUCGCUGCUUCGGCAAUUUACUCAGAUACAGACUCGGAUUCCCAAGAACACACCUCUCAUUCAGCAGUGUUAAUCACGAAAGCAGCUGUCAAGGAAUUUUCCGCGGCAAAUUUAUCGAAAAAUUCACAAAAAGGCUUCGGUAAAGACUCUAGGCAUUCUGAAUCCACGUACCACAAUACGGGGACGAAAAAUAAAGAGAAUCAAACUAAAGUCAGUACUAAAAAGAAAGAAUAUAUACCUUCUGCACUGAUUGUACCGCAAAGGCAGGCAGCGAAGAAGGCUUCAGAAAUCAUGCAGCGCACACAACAGAGCAAAAAAGAAAACCCAGUGCCUGAGUCUAACCCAGAAGUGGUUAAGUCUCCUGUCGAGGAACUUUCAAAGUGCUCCUCUUCGAAGCAAUCAAAAGACAAAAGUCCUCCUAAGAAACAAAGAGAAAACAAACCAUCGAAGGAGAUUAAAAAUAACGAUGUGUACGAUUUCGAUAAAGAUUUCGGAGAUGGAACGGAAAUUUUAGCGUACGUGCCGCAGAGACAAGCUGCGAAGAAGGCUGCGGAGCACAUAAAAAGCGGCAUGGGCAAUAAACCUACUCAACCAGUUGAGCCGGAAACGUUAGACGGUAGAUCGAAAAAGGAAUCCCCGGAGACUGGAAAGAAAAAAGAAGCUCGAAAGGACGAUCCAUCCUCCAGAAAGGAAGAACUUCCUGCGAGGAAAGAAGAAACAUCGUCAUCGUCGUCGUCAUCCUCAUCCUCUUCUUCGUCUUCAUCGUCGUCAUCCUCUUCUUCGUCGUCGUCCUCCUUAUCCUCCAGAAAGGAAGAAGCUUCUAGAAAAGAAGAAUUGUCCACGAAAAAGGACGAGUCUUCUUCGAGAAAGGAAGAGGUCCUUUCGAAGGACAAUCAUCCUAGAAGACCCAGAAAACCGAGCGAACGAAAGUCGUCGGUACUUUCAAGUAACAGUGAUAGUAGCAGCAGUAGCAAUAGUUACAGUAGUUCCACGGAAAGCAGUAGUGACUCUGAGAACCCUGGACGUAGAAAACUUUCUGACGAUUCGAUAGAUGGUUCCUCUUCCAGUACUUCAUGCGAAAGUGAUAGUGGUAAUCGAACGAAGAGCAAAACGGCCGCGACAGCUGCAACAGCCAUGGCGAAUAAAAAGCAACAACAAUCUAAAACAUCGCCUGAACAACAGGAGGCCGAGAGGAAAUCAGUUACAGGGCGGAAACUCAAGAAGCUGCCCGAGAAGAAGCUUAAAACUUCCGACGGGCGGCGGGGACCAGAGUUUCAGCCGCCUACUGAGAGAGAGGAACCUCGUAGAAUCGCCAAGGAACAGCAACCGCAACAACAACAACCAACACCACCAUCCCAGCAACAACAACAACCAUGUCAGCAACAAGAAACAAGUACAAGUGUCAAAAAGCAAGAUCAAAGAGAUAGCAAGAAACAACCAGCCACCGGAACGGAGGUUGAUGAGGAUCUGCUCGUUGGGUCUGGAGAUCAUGAUGGGGCAAGAAGUGUUUCUGGGUCCAGACCUGCCAAAAAGUCGGUUCAAGCCGGUAAGCAGCAGUCUGUGCCAAGAAAAGAAGAAAAGAAAGCUAAAUCCGAAGGCAGAAAGCGAAAACAGAACGAGUCUGUUGCGAAAGAUGAAAAGACCGGGAAAGAGGCGGUUAAAAAGCCGGAAAAGCGGAUGAACGAGAAGCAGUCUGUCAAGGAGAGCGAAAAGAAGGACGAGGAGGAGGUUAAGAAGGAUGAACCAGCGGUCGUAGAGCAAGGAAAGACCAGUGAACCGGAGAGUUGUUCGAAAACCGACGAGAAGAAAGUUAAGAAGUUUGGCGGCAAGGAUGCGAUCAAUACUUUGGAAGAGGAAAUGAAACAACGUAGAGCGGAGAGAGACAGCCCGAAGAAAUCGUUGAGGGGUUUGGAUAAACUUUUGGAAAAACGCGAGCACCACGAUAAGAUGUCGAGGAGUAAAAAUUCGGAGGUGAAGUUGGAAAAAACUGUUUGCGACGAAGAGAAGGAAAUUAAAGAACCGAUAGAUGAAAGUAAGCACAUGAAAGACAGUGUGAAGAACGAGGACCACAAGAAUCACGUCAACGAGAAUGAGGCUGCUGUCGAGAAGACGAAAUCGGAAGAACAGUUGGAGGAGGAGCAAAUAAAGAAGGAUAUCGUUGAUGUGCCGCAGAUCGAGAAGCUUGCAGUCGGAAAGAAGAAAACGGAGAGAAAUCUGGAGAACGCAAUUGAACCACCCAAUGUUGAGUUACAAAACAUACCAGUUGAGGAGAACGUUCCUAAAGAGAACAACGAGGAAGAGAAUGUUAAAUCCGUUUCGGAGAGAGUUGACAAUUUGGAGAAAGAACAUCAAAAGAGGCGAAAAUCGGCUAACCGAUCGAUCUUCUCGCCGCAGCAUGGGAAAGAUGCGAGUGUCUCGGAAUUGUUUGAUUUCGAUCAAGAUAUGCUGACGGAGGAGAUGGUGAACGAGGACGGAUUUGGUAUAUCUAGGGACGUGGAAGAACGGGGCGUACCGUUGAGUUUCUCCUUCAACAACGAACUGUGGUUCAAGGAAGAUUCGAAGGAAGAUAGCGCUAGAGAAACGCUCCAUCUCGUCGAGAAAUUGCGUAUGGAACUCUCGAAGAAAUCAAAUUCUAGUCAGUUUGAAUUAGAGACAGUACCUGUAGACGGCGAAAUCAAAAAAGAGGAACCACCGAUAGAGAAGACGUUCGAGCAACAACAACCGCAGCAGCAGCAACAGCCACAAUCGCAAUUACAGCAUCAACAAGUGCCGCAACUUCAACAACAGCCGCAACACGAGCAACCACAAGAAAAGGAGGUGAAAAUCCUAGAGUCCAUAGAGCCAGUUAUGAACGUGAAGAAUAACGUUGAAAUUCCUGAAGAAGAAAUCAUCACUAACGAAGCACAUCCCAGUAGCUGUAAAAAUACAAUAGAAGAGAAACGGAAAACGUGUUACUCGAGCGGUAACGAUAGAUACGCGGCCUACGAAGAGGAUCGUGAGGCGAACAAAGUCAGUUUGGUGGAGCGGGCGAAGCUCGAUCGAGCGGAGACCGACGAGAGGUGGGUUCCGCCGAGCAUCAACAGUUUCGAACCCAGCGACGUGCAACACCUUAAUGCUUUGAUGGAAACUCAGAAUCAUCGAUACGGCAACCACCAGUUUCCCAAUGAAACCAUUCAAGAUCCCGAAACGAUCGCACGCACUCAUUUGAACGCGCCGAGUAUACAGGAACAAUAUCUUUUACAGCAAUCGCACUCCAUGCUUCAUGGUCAACAAGAACCUCAUGAAAGAACGAUGCUCAAUCAACAGAUACCCGAGGAGAACCCUAUGGAAAUGGUGAACAGACAUCUAAUCGGAUUGCCAGCAUCGGAGGACGAUCAGGCCGCCGAGAUGAUGGACAGAGUACUCGAGAAAGAGGAAGACGUCGUCAGGCAUCAAGAAUACGAUCACAAUUCACCAUACAAUGACUUGAACGGUCGUCCAGAUACCCGAUGGGCAGAGAGUCAGGUGUUACCGUCUCGAAGGUCUACGUCUUCUUCGAUCACCUCCGCUUCGUCCGCAGAGGAUCAUUCCAUUCCACCGUACAAAAACGUAGCGGGCAUUCCUUUUCCACCGUGCUCGAUCGAAGCAACGUAUUACGCGGACUCGAGCUACGGUACCGGCCCGGUAAGUCUCUUUCCGCCGCAGUCGUGCGCGGCGCCGUUACCGUAUCCUUCACCCGGGCCAGCCCUUUUUCCACCGGCAUUCGGCGCAGCUUUCCCAGCAGCACAGUCGUUGUUGCCGCACGUGAAACCACUGGAGGACUCGUUAAAUCUACAGGCUUCACCAUGUACUGCAGCGUUCACGUCUUCCUCGCACAACAUGGCGCUCACCGCAGCCAUGGUAUCGCCUACCAAAAUAGCCACACCGCCACCGCCACCACCUCCACCACCACCGCAAGUUACCGCCCCACCUGCCGAAACCAUCGAGAGGACACAGCAACAAUUGCAAACUCAGGUCACCGAAUCACCUUCCUUGCCCAUGAAUUUCUUGAACACCGUAGCACCAGAGAGUCACGUCAGCGACACCGUCGUCGAGAAUCUGCAAGAAGUUUUGCCGGACGGAAAGAGUCAGCACUCCGGGAAGAAAUCACCUUCGAAGCCUACUAGGACCUCGGCCCGGGUUACGUCUCUGCAAGGGAAGUCUCCAGGGAAGUCCCCGAGACAGGAAGCUCAGAAGAGCGUUCCUGGAGCACGAGGACGCGGUAGAGGCGCUAAGAAUUCAUCGCAACACUCCGGUUACAGGGGACGCGGUCGAGGCCGAGGUAGGGGACGAGGUAGAAGCGGUCAAAACGCAGGACUGGUCUCUGGUGUUAGUAUCAGCCAGCACGAUGAUUCCAUUCAGAACAAACUAGUCGGCACGGUGUACGAUUUCGACUCCGACGAGGAUUCGACCAGCGAGGCGAACAUCGCCGACCUGCGUACCAUGAGGGAACGCAAGAAGUCGACGGACGCCGCGGCAGCGGGCAUCGAGAGAAGGGACUCCGCUGUCCUGGCUUCCGGAGAGAGCAUUCAAUCGAGACUUUCCAGUCCUGGAGGUACCAGAAAGUACUUGGAGGACAGGAGACUCUCUUGUUCCCCUGGUCACGACGACUCCACCGUUGUCGAGAGUCAGUCAAACGUUGGACAGAGCUUCGAUACCGUCCUACCGGUUAUUCCUGGUCCCGUCGACAUGAGAACCUACAACUCUACCCUCGACGCUUCAAGUUCUUCCACACUACACGGUCAGACGUACGAGAAUCAUUUCUUGGGAUCUUUCGCUGGUGUUUCGGCGAGCGAUCCUGCUCUUCCGGACAUCGAGGAGGACCUCGAGAAGGAGUUAAGAUCCGCGCUGAUCGGUAAACAGAGUCAAGAAGACUGCUCGAAGCCGAACUUCGACGCGAGCAUCGACGCGUCGUCUUCCGGCUUUGUGGACGCCAACAAGGUCUCUUUGACGGACUCGAGAAAUCAACUGAAGGUGAAGAUCAAAGGUCCGUUCCUCGAUGCGAACUAUGUUCCUGCCUCAUCGGUACCACCGCUUGCUCAACAAGCACCCGUGAUAAUUGCUCCGGCUGCCACCAGUGCUUCCGUCGCUUCCGGAACCUCGAACCUCAGGCGAAUGCGGAAGAAGGAGCUGCUUAGACAGUAUUGCUCUCAGGACAUGAAUAUGGACGAGCCAGGUUGCGGAAAUCUUGCCACGUCCGCGCCGAUCAUCAUGCCACCCAUCAACCGUACGGUGAUCACCAUACCGAAAGCUGUCGCCUCGAUGACUAGUAUACCUACCAGAGAGGACUACAAGGCGGUCGUCGACGCGAACAUGGAGAAGAAGAGAAGAAAAGAACGGCCUGCCGGCUUCUUAGACGCCAACGAGGAGGAGGGAGGCGUCGAAAGGAGACGAAGCAGCGCAGCGAACGGUGCUGGUUCCAGCGGUAACGCCGCGAUCGGUAACACGGAUCGCAGGAGAGGAAGGCAGAGUAGUGGCGGCAGGUCGACGACGACCACGACCACGACUACCACCUCGAACAGUGGUCCGCCGAAAUUGAAGAUAAAGAUCGGCAAUAGCAUUAUCGGUGGCCAGGAGAGCGGCCAGGACGACAGGACCAGAAUCAGACCGCCGAAGAAACGGCUGAGCAGCAUUCCUAGCAGUACACCGAGCAUCGAGGAGUUGCGCAGAGAAAGUAUGAAGUUUAGACGCAUGAUCAUGGCUGGUUUCGACAACGACGAGAAACUUAGAGCAAAGAGUAAGAAGGAUAAGAACGGUAAGAGAAAGAAACGUCAAUCGAGCAGAAAGGAAGCCAGGGUGCGUAUCCUCGAAGGUGGUGCUGCCCCACCAAAGCUGAUCAUCACACUGGGCAAAGGCAACGACUCUCCCGACGACUUGCCGAUCUUGCUCACGGACGAAGAAGAGGAAGAGGAAGAGGAACGACAUCCGACUGACAGUAGAGUAGGUCCUCCGCCUCCGGAACCAGCCAAGGACGAGCCUGUCUAUCCCGCAGUAGCUGCCAACAUGGAAGAGAAACAGCCUACCGACCCCGACACCGGUGGCAGCGCGCCUAGGAACGUUCGUUCGGCCAAGGUCACGCCGAUCAGGUUAAAAUUGACGCGUUGCCAGGAGGGUUACGAGCUUAAGGGCUCGCCGAUCCAUGGCGAGGAGCCAUUAACUACGGAGAAACCGCGAAGUUCCGAAGUUUCGAACGAAGAGACGAGAGAUCCACCGAUGAAAAGCCAGGAGGAAGAGUCCUCCAGGGAAGAGGAAGAGGAAGAAGAGGAGGAGAACAAUAGUUCCGUGCAAAGAGACUCCUCCGCGUGUCCUGCCGCGACAAGUAUACCACAAGGAUGCCAAGUUAGGUGAUAAUUAAUGAUACUCGUGGAGUAACGGAGCAGAGGACACAACACGGUGCUCGUACGAUGUUUACAGUCGAUUGAGAAACGGACUCGAUACACGCUUGUUUCCGGUUGCUAGCUGUGAAAGCACGUUGCCGUUAUAAGGAAUGUGUGGGUCAUCGAACGUGGAGGGUACCUGAGCUGUCGGGGUGGGUCGGAAGAAGUCAGACGAGAUCGGACGAGGACCUAAAACAUAUGGAUUCUUGGGUAGCAAUCUCAUUUUCAAAUUUGGACUUGAAAUUUUUGGGUUUGGACCUUUUCACAUUUGAGACAUAGAGACUUAGGAAUUUUGUAAACUUAGGAAAUUAAAGACUCGAUAAAGUGCAAAUUCGAGGACUUGGGAAUUAAAAAUUUUACCAUUUAGAAAUCUCUAAAUUUAUAUAUUUGAAAAAUUGUUACUUUCAAAAUGAAUCGUAAGUAUGAAGUAUAUGAUACAACUUAUAGAAGGGUAUUUGAACAAUAUAAAUAUUUUGACUUUGUCUCUACCCGAGUCCGUAUGUCGCAUACUCUUCUGAACCCGUUUGACUUCACCGACUCGACUCGAACCCAAAAUGUCGGAUACCCGCACAUUCCUAGUUAGUUCGUAUCGUUGGCUUAGUGGACCAAACCGUGAACCAACACGUUUUAAAAUAUAUCAUGGUUUUAAACCAAACUGUUUUUUUAGUUUUUUCUUUAUUUUGUUAAUGAAAAUUAUCUAUAAUAAAACAUUAUUUUACUCGAAUAACUUAGUAAGUAUAGAUUUUAUAGAGUCAUGCUCAAUGAAUAAAUGAAUUAUAGAUAUAAAUAAAUAGUUCCCGCUAGACCUACGAUACGCAAAAGUCAUUUGAUAUAGAAUUUUUUUUAUGAUUUCCCGCAAGAUUUUACAAAGUUGUAUAUAUAAAAUAGAGAAAGAUACUUGCGCUCUGUUGAUAAUAUUUAUAAAUUAUGUUUUUAUUUUUUAUUAUUAUUAUCACGUUAUAUUAUACAUAUAUAUAUAUUAUAUAUACAUACAAGUUCGUUAUUCUUUAUUCACCAUUAAUUAAUGAAUUUAUUUUAAUAAACUUCACCUUCUUACGGCAACAGAAACGCAAAACGAAAACGGUGAUUUUGGCAAGAGAGGGAACAAGGUGGUAGCAACUUCUAAGAUAUACUCGUAUCGGACUCGCUUCAAAGGACAUUCUCCGACGUUAAAAGGAAGAAAGAACCUAUGCUCCUCGAGAACAUUCGGUUUUAUUCUUAAAACGCUAAACAAUACUCGAGAGACGAAAAAAUGGGCGUGCCAUUUCGCGGCGGCGACGAGAUGUCUAUGUUUUUUUUCCUUAAGGAAAAAAUCUGAUCGAAGAAACACGGAUCGGAGCCGUUCACGAAGAUCACGAAACUCUCCGAUAUCUUAUAAAAUAUUUAAUUUAAUUCUCGUUCGCAAAUUUUUCGAACAUCGAUGUACGCGCGCACGUGUAACGUAUUUAGCGUACAAAAGGAUAAACGAGACAGGACAAGAAUUCUCGCGAUAACUUCGUGAACGGCCUCGCCAUUAAUUUCGCAGUAAGAACUAGUUAAUUGUACAUACUUGUAAUUUACGAUUGUAUUUAGUUUAAGUCGAGGAGAGAGUUGUGUGCGUGAGUGUGUAUGCCAGGCGAGAAUAAGAGAAAGAGUUAUUGUGCGAGAAUGGGCGUGAAAGAUUUUAUAAUCAGUGCGAAGCUUACGUGAUGGCUGUGUUUUACCACGCGGUCCGAUCUUCCAGGCAAAUUAAAUCCUGGGCCGCGCAGAAACGUUCAGUAUCCCCCCAAAACCGUUGGAUUGCUCGAGUCUCUCCCUCCCUCUUUCCCCUUUAAAACGAGGCCGUUGGUUGAAUAUUACGAUAGAGAGAUAGUAUAUAAACAAACAAAAAAAAAAAA